UAUGAAGAACGUAGCGAAAUGCGAAAAGUAAUGUGAAUUGCAGAAUUCAGUGAAUCAUCGAAUCUUUGAACGCACAUUGCGCCCGCUGGUACUCCGGCGGGCACGCCUGUCCGAGCGUCAUUUCAACCCUCAAGCCCUCCUUCGGGAUGGGCCUGGUGUUGGGGCUCGGCCGCCAUCUCCGGCGGCCGUCCCCUAAAUACAGUGGCGGUCACGUCGCGACUCCUUUGCGUAGUAGAAACACCUCGCUCCGGAUAGCAACGCGGUCCACGCCGUAAAACCCCCAAUUUUCAAUGGUUGACCUCGGAUCAGGUGGGAAUACCCGCUGAACUUAAGCAUAUCAAUAAGCGGAGGA
rnacentral:misc_RNA from 1 species